GACGAACGCUGGCGGCGUGCCUAAUACAUGCAAGUAGAACGCACAGUUUAUACCGUAGCUUGCUACACCAUAAACUGUGAGUUGCGAACGGGUGAGUAACGCGUAGGUAACCUGCCUGGUAGCGGUGGAUAACUAUUGGAAACGAUAGCUAAUACCGCAUAAUAUUCAUUAUUGCAUGAUAAUUGAUUGAAAGAUGCAAUUGCAUCACUACCAGAUGGACCUGCGUUGUAUUAGCUAGUAGGUGAGGUAACGGCUCACCUAGGCGAAGAUACAUAGCCGACCUGAGAGGGUGAUCGGCCAAACUGGGAAUGAGACACGGCCCAGACUCCUACGGGAAGGAGCAGUAGGGAAUCUUCGGCAAUGGACGAAAGUCUGACCGAGCAACGCCGCGUGAGUGAAGAAGGUUUUCGGAUCGUAAAGAUCUGUUGUAAGAGAAGAACGGGUGUGAGAGUGGAAAGUUCACACUGUGACGGUAUCUUACCAGAAAGGGACGGCUAACUACGUG
rnacentral:rRNA from 1 species